GCCAACCGCCCUCAUUCCCUUGUGCCAAUCCAAACCCUAGCCGUCGCUAGCCUACUGCUCCCUCCCGGCGCUCGCCUAGUAGCGCGCCGACACGGUGCCCUCGCCCCCACAGUCGUGUCCUCCGGUCUGUGGGCGUCCACCUAUGGCGCUCUCAGACGUCGGCACCAUGUCGGCUAAGCGGGGAGGUGGCGGUUGCUUCUUGGUUCCAGUCCCUCGGGCACUCGCUCUCUUGCCCGACAAUGACUGGGCGCCCACCACCCUACGCCAUGUCUCCAACUCGUUGCCAAGCCUUCGUGAGGGAGGAAAAGUAGGGUAGCCAGAAUCUCUGUUGGUGUCACCUGUUUCAUUGUGUUCAUGAUGAUCCUUUCAGUAAUAGGCCUUUUUAGGUAUUAAAGGAAACGUUUGUGCUCUGGUUUCUGCAAGAGGUUUGCACAUAAACAAUUUUUAUUGCA